AUUGAACGCUGGCGGCAGGCCUAACACAUGCAAGUCGAGCGAGCGGCGGACGGGUGAGUAAUGUAUGGGGACUGCCCGAUAGAGGGGGAUAACUACUGGAAACGGUAGCUAAUACCGCAUACUAUCGGAUAACCCAUAUGGGACUAGCUAGUAGGUGAGGUAAUGGCUCACGUAGGCGACGAUCCCUAGCUGGUCUGAGAGGAUGAUCAGCCACACUGGAACUGAGACACGGCCCAGACUCCUACGGAGGCAGCAGUGGGGAAUAUUGCACAAUGGGCGAAAGCCUGAUGCAGCAAUGCCGCGUGUAUGAAGAAGGCCCUAGGGUUGUAAAGUACUUUCAGUAGGGAGGCGUUACCGAAAGAAGAAGCACCGGCUAACUCCGUGCCAGCAGCCGCGGUAAUUC
rnacentral:rRNA from 1 species